UACGGGGGGAACAAGCGUUGUUCGGAUUUACUGGGCGUAAAGGGCGUGUAGGCGGAUUACCAAGUCAGAGGUGAAAACCGCAGGCUUAACCUGCGGCCUGCCUUUGAAACUGUUAAUCUUGAGUACGGGAGAGGAAAGCGGAAUUCCAGGUGUAGCGGUGACAUGCGUAGAUAUCUGGAAGAACAUCGGUGGCGAAGGCGGCUUUCUGGACCGAUACUGACGCUGAGGCGCGAAAGCCAGGGGAGCAAACAGGAUUAGAUACCCGCGUA
rnacentral:rRNA from 1 species